rnacentral:ncRNA from 1 species
GACUUAGUCCUAACCUUACUAUUGGUUUCUACUAGACAUAUACAUGCAAGUAUCCGCACUCCAGUGAAAAUGCCCUCGAGCUUUAACCCUUUUUCCCAAGCAAAAGGAGCAGGUAUCAGGCACACCCAGCAGUUAGCCCAAGACGCCUUGCUAAGCCACACCCCCACGGGUAUUCAGCAGUAAUUAACCUUAAGCAAUAAGUGUAAACUUGACUUAGCCAUAGUAGCACUAGGGCUGGUAAAUCUUGUGCCAGCCACCGCGGUCAUACAAGAAGCCCGAAUCAAUAGCCAUCCGGCGUAAAGAGUGGCCAUAUGCUAUCCACACCAACUAAGAUCGAAAUGAAACCAAGCUGUCAUAAGCCCAAGAUACACUUAAGCCCAAUCUAAAACUAUCUUAGACCGUGCGACUAAUUUUAACCCACGAAAGCCAGGACACAAACUGGGAUUAGAUACCCCACUAUGCCCGGCCUUAAAUCCAGAUACCUGUACACCUACUUACGUAUCCGCCCGAGAACUACGAGCACAAACGCUUAAAACUCUAAGGACUUGGCGGUGUCUCAAACCCACCUAGAGGAGCCUGUUCUGUAACCGAUAAUCCACGAUUCACCCAACCACCUCUUGCCAACACAGCCUAUAUACCGCCGUCGCCAGCUCACCUCUAAUGAAAGAACAACAGUGGGCCCAACAGCUCCCCGCUAACAAGACAGGUCAAGGUAUAGCCCAUGAGGUGGGAGAAAUGGGCUACAUUUUCUACCAUAGAACAAACGGAAAAGAGCAUGAAACUUAGCUCUUGGAAGGAGGAUUUAGCAGUAAAGUGAGAUCACCCUAAGCCCACUUUAAGAUGGCCCUGGGACACGUACAUACCGCCCGUCACCCUCUUCAAAAGCUACCAACCCCAAUAAAUAAUACCCACCCAAAGCUAAAGACGAGGUAAGUCGUAACAAGGUAAGUGUACCGGAAGGUGUACU